AUCUCCUGGCUUAACUGGGAGGGUGCGCCGGAUACUGGCGGGCUUGAGUGUGGGAGAGGGAAGCGGAAUUCCUGGUGUAGCGGUGAAAUGCGUAGAUAUCAGGAGGAACACCUGUGGUGUAAACGGCUUCCUGGACCACAACUGACGCUGAGGCACGAAAGCGUGGGGAGCAAACAGGAUUAGAUACCCUGGUAGUCCACGCCCUAAACGAUGCGAACUUGGUGUGGGCAGUUCAGUCUGUCCGUGCCGGAGCUAACGCGUUAAGUUCGCCGCCUGGGGAGUACGGUCGCAAAGCUGAAACUCACAGGAAUUGACGGGGGCCCGCACAAGCGGUGGAGCAUGUGGUUUAAUUCGACGCAACGCGAAGAACCUUAUCUGGGCUCGAACGGCUUUCCCCAACGGCGGUGGAAACAUCGGUAUCCCCGCAAAGGAAGUGGAAUCCGAGUUGCGGAAUGACUUGUCUUCAAGCUCGUGAUCAUGGAGAAUUUUGGUUAAGUGCCCGCAACGAGCGCAACCAUUGUCCGGUGUUGCCACCCGAAAGGAGCACUCUCAGGGAGCCCGCCCAGCGAUAAGCUGGAGGAAGGUGGGGAUGACGUCAAGUCCUCAUGGCCUUUAUGUCCAGGGUUACACACGUGCUACAAAUGGACGGUACAAAGCGCUGCCAAACCCGCGAGGGAAAGCCAAUCGCAAAAAACCGUUCUUAGUUCGGAUUGCAGUCUGCAACUCGCGUGCAUGAAGCUGGAAUCGCUAGUAAUGGGUUAUCAGAAUGAUCCCGUGAAUACGUUCCCGGGCGUUGUACACACCGCCCGUCACAUCACGAAAGUGGAUUGCACUAGAAGUCCGCGGACUAACCGUAAGGA
rnacentral:rRNA from 1 species